rnacentral:tRNA from 1 species
GGACUUGUGGUUCAGUGGUAGAGCGCUUGCCUAGCAUGCAUGAGUCACUGAGUUUGAUCCUCAGCACCA